AACCACACAUUAGCUAAUCAGCAGGUUGAGGGGAAAGCUGCCAAAAGCAGAUCUGAUAAUUGGCAGCAUUCAAACAAUCAUAGCAGGAAACUUUACACUUCCUGCAGACAAGGCUACUGAUGAAGACAAUGCUGAGAUAUAACUUUAGGGGAAAAGAAUUAGGAUGUUUAGUACUUUCAUGUUUAAUGAUCUCUUGAAAAACUGGAUUCACAGCUCAUGGGAGGCACAGGUAUUUUGCACAGAAACAAUGUAGAAAACCACCCAACACUGGUAAAGGGAGUUCUGAUAGCCUAGUGAUCAACUAGAAGCAUUCAUGAGAUUUGUCCUCUGCCAAGUUUUACAAGCCAUUUAAAACACCUUUUUAUUUGUCUACAUCCAUAUAUGGUACAGUUAUUACUGUAAUAGGUGAGAACUUGACACAUUUAUCAGCACAACAUUCCCGAGAUAAAUAUCAACAAAUCCAUCCCACUGGUAGCUAUUUUAAACACACAUCAGCUGAGUUUUAGACCUACUCAAGACUUCAGGUGAUUUAGAUGAGAUUUAAAACAAAAUUCAAUGUUCUAAUUUUCCACUCAUCUACUGCUUAGCUUUGGCACUAUCUAAAUUCUUUCAAGCGUUUAAAGUCACCCAAAUUUCCUCAUAUAUUCUCCUUUAAGGAAUGGAAACACUUCAGUCUUCACAGUGUGAAGAAGCUGUAGCUCUUCGGUCAAAGAAGUUCAACUUUCAGCAUUAUCCGCCACUAAGCAUCCUUCAUUUAUCUCAUUGUUGGCAGCAUUCUUGCUAAUGUUUUACUUCACAUAUCUUUCAGAUCAAGUACAGCAGGAAUGGCUGUAGAAGAGCAGAGAUGAAGAUCUCCCACUUCUCCUCACAUCUGAGUUGACUCAGGUUCUGUGGGCAAACAUACCUGUGAGUUUCUUUCACAGAGAGGAACAGUUUCAACAGGAAAAGGUGAAGUGUCCUUGUUUCAAAAUAGGCUGUAUCUGGAGAAGGAGAACAGUCCUAAAGAGAUGGCAGAGAACCAAAUAAACAAAAAUAAAAAUAAGGACAAAAAUAAAAAAUAAAAAUAAAUGCAACAUUAUGAGUCGUCACAGGAAAUGCUUUCCUGUAUGUUAAUAUAUAAAACGUGCAAUUUCUACAAACUGUAUAUUUAAAAAACAUCCUUGGCAGUAAGAUAUACAGAAAGUAACAGAGUAUGAAGAAGUAAGGUCCAGUCAAAACUUUGCAACGAAGCUGCCUUUGUAGCCACUGAAGGCAGAUACACUCCUCAGGAGAUGUGCAUUUUGGUGGUAGAUUUCUGAUACCUGCACUUCUUAGAAUACAGUCAACUUCUGCUCGUGACUAUUGAAUUUCACUCUUAUCAUCUACUUUACUGAUCUGAAGCUCUUGGGGCUGUGUAGGAAUCUCAAAUUCUGGGGCUGUCAUACCUUCGUUUGGAAUGCACUCAAGGAAUAAACAGCCUCCAAAUUAAUGGAAAACGAGCCCAAAAUUUUGCACAUUUUAUUUCUACUAACUGCUGAAUUCUUCAAGCCAUCAAGCAUGGGAAGACCUCAAAGGAUAUGCUUACUGUGCUUACUACUACAGAAUAUUAACAGCAGAAGGAAAAUGCAGGAAAAUCCCACCCUUGAGGUAAUCCCUAACUUGACCAAAAAAAGAAAAAAAAAAUCUUUUGCUUUUACUUUCAAGACAAGCAGAUCAGAACCCUCUGGUAAACCAUGUGUUUUGUGGAUUAAAUCUUCACUUUUCCAAGGUCACACAGCAAAAAGGAAUAAUAGUCUUCCCCUACAAAUUUCAGAUUUACCAUUUAAUUAAUUGACUUUGGCAGUUGGCACACAACCUUUAAAAAAAAAAAAAAAAACAUUCUGAAAUGUCAGCCUUGAAGGGGGAAAAAAAAAAUCAUUUGAUGAAUUUAAUCUAAGUGCCAACCAAAGCACAAAUGUUCCCUGUGGACCCGUUACAACACUGGAGUUCACAACUGAUUGCUUGGGAAUGAGCAAAUUAAUGCAGCAAAAUAUUUACUAGCUAAGUAGAUGUAGUUUAAUAUAUAUACUCUACUCGCCAGAUAUUUACACCUGUAUCCUAUAAAACACUGAAAUCUUCAGACUUGUUAAAUUAAUUAAUUUAAUUAAGGUAAAUAAAUAGAAAUCCAGGUUGCUGUUUUCCCAAAUAAGAAGUUUCACAGGCUGAGAGUGUUCAUUUAUGAUUUCGAUUUUUUCUUGUUGUUUUGUUUUUUUACAAAUGUGAGAAACCACAAAAAGUUGUUCUCCUGCUUCCUGUACGUACACGUUGUGCAAAUUAUAUAUAGUCUACUGGAUAGUCUUCAGCAGUGAACUUCAGGUACCAUCUGUACAUAUUUCUGGCACUAUUUAUUUGCAAUUAACCAGGGCCUUAUGUUUUAUCCCCUGCAACUUAAAGUCUUAAAUGCUGGAGGAGGUAAUUUUAGCAGAAGGGAAUACUGAAGCCAGCAUCAGGCUUUCUAAUGAGAAAAACCUAUCCUGUUACUCCCUAUUUAAACCAUUGCGACUGAGAAAGAUUGCUUUUCCUAGGUAAAGAAAAGAAAUGGUCUUGGCAGAAAAGAAAAAAAAAAAAAAGUUUUAAUAGCACCUGCAAGUGCAGAUUAAAUCAUUUGUAACGAUUCAUUAAACUUGAUGUCUCAGAUACUCCACCAGUGAAAACAAGCUCCACUGAUUUCACCAGAUCACGAGGACUUAACUAAGAGGCGAUAGUAAUUUACCCCAGGUGACCCAAGGUGUCCGGUCACGUAAUAACCCUUUCAUCCCUCGGAGCUUCUCUUUGGGUCAGUGUUAAUAGAAAAACCUGUAAGAAAGCAGAUAUUGAUGUGAAGUACCAGAACCGUCACUGAUGCUGGAGACUGUUUCUCCUUCUCUUCUUUCACCUCACCACACUCAUCCCACCCCACCCAGAAGCGGGUAAAACAGAAACUGCACAUCCUGAAACUUGCAGAUGCACUCAUCUUUCUGCAGAGACAUCCAGCUUAGGGAGAACAACUAAGAGAAAAGCUGCAGGUUCAGAAAAAUCCCACUAUUCACAAAAUCACAUGAACUAUCUAUGUGUGGAUCCCCAUAUGAGUAGUAGUAGUCUAAAGAUACAGCAAGUGAGGUAGAGCUAUGAGCCACGUGGACAUCACCAGUGAAGGAACAGGCAGAAAAAUGCAGACUGCAACCUCUAUCAGCUAAAUUGCUGCUCUGCUGCUAAAAUAUGGGACUAAAUUGGGCAGGCAGCAAACAGAUUGUGACAACUCGGUGUACCUCAGCUCUUCAUAGCUCUACUUUCAGUAACGCUAUUUCAAUGUCCUAAAUGCUGAGUGAUGGAUGCUUUAGCACCCUUCCCAGAAACACCCACCUGUGAUGGUAAGAUUGGUGGAAAUGACUCGUGAUGAUGAAAAUAUAAACAUUUCAUCCCAGCCAUUGGUCACAUUCUCUUAAGUUGAGUGAAAUUCUCUGAAACUCACUAGUAUACAAGUACCUCUGUGUGUGAGCAUGUAUAAAAGUGAGUGAGGGUGUGGGUGGGGAAAAUAUGUGUGGUACAGUACGAAUAAAACAGAAAACCCCAACCCUCUCUCUUUUCAUGCACAAGGAAGGCCAGUCUAUUCAUGUCAGUGCGAGCACUUCUGAAACAAACAAACAGGAAAAGAGGGAGAAAAUGACCAUGUUUCUCUCCAGUUUUGAUACCAUCCCUGAAAGCUGGUGAAGAAUUAUGUGCCAGCACAUUAAGGAGAAGGAACUGAUGAGUUGUACAACAAGGAGAACAUGAACAAACAUUAAUACAAAACAAAUUCUGGGCUGAAGUUUUCAGAGAACCCAAAAAUCUUUUAUUCUAGGAGAUGGCAGCAGAGGGAUUGUCUGACAAAAUGGAGUCUGACCUGGAAAGGCAUAUGAAGUGUGGAACUGAACUCCUCCAUGUGGAAAAAAUGGAACCCAUUGACAUUCAUUGAUGUUUGUUGAACAUUUAUGGAGACCAAACAGUGGAUGUGAGCGCUGCGAGGUGGUAGGUGAUUCUACUCCCCUUCUCACAAGAAUAACCUACCUCAUUCAUGAAGAUGACUUUUUUUAACCCUGUAGAUCAUUCCCUACAUAGGCUCCUGGUCCCUCCCCAUGACAGGACCAGUGGAACCAGCGGUGCUAUUUCUCUUCAUGUCUUUGUCCUUAAGAGAGGCCUAGGUGACAACAAAGCUGCUGACCAGAAGUUAUCUGGAAUGAGGGAAGAUGAAAAUAUGAGAGAGAAGCAAUGACUACUGCCUUCUGUACACCUUACUUUUCAUUUUGUAGUGAAACAUUGAGUUUGCACUGGUAUUGGCUUUUUUUCUUACUUUUAUUUUUAAGAAAUUCUUUUUUAUAUUGCUGACUUUCCAAGACUCUCUCCUUUUUAGAGGGAUAAUUCUUUCCUUUCACAUUUGCAUGUCCUGUGCCAGAAACCAAAAAGAGGAAAGGAAACCUGGUCUUUUCUCCUGUUUUGUAUGCUUGCAUGUGUAUUUAAGAUUUUUCCUUUUCUGAUUCGAAACAUACAUACUAGCAGCCCAGUAGAAUUUAUACUUUCUUAGUUUUUUUUUUUAAUUAAUCUUCAUCAGACAUAGUUAAAAUGGAUACUCAGGCCUGGUAUAAGCUUAUUUCUUUAGUCAUCCACAUCCAAAGUAUAUGUUUGUAAUAAUCUGUGAAGCGACAGUAUGGCAGUCCUCCAGUUUCCAUACUAUCACUCAAUAGUUUUUUACCUCACUGUCAAGGAAUAUUAGCAAUCCCUAGGAGCAAGGAAGUCCAGAAGCUAUACCUGACAUUGCCCAAAACUCAUGACAAACUAAGUCCAAUCUGGACGUCACAUUUGGAAUAGAUGGUUACUUUCCUUCACAUCUCUAUUAUAGCUAGCUCAUUCACAUUUGUCUUGCCAAUCACGUGAGCAAAUUCAUGAGAAAAGCAAAUCAAAAAGCAUAACACGGCACUGACAAAUGUCUGGAUGAGAUAGGUGACCUAUCUGUUCCUCCCUCAAGUCUGGCAUGCAUGAGAUUUAUUCAUGAAUAAAGCUUUAUGACUGUACACUGCACUGCCAUCACAACACCCAUAUAUAACUUUAAGACAAUUCUGCCAGAUAUGCAUGGUCAGCAAAAUGGAGAGAAAGGUGCUGGGUGUUGGGUCCCAUGGUCAAAGGAAACUUGUGAAAGAAUAUUUCUCUGUGUCAGAGGAAUGCUACUUCCUUUCCGCAUGCAAAAUGGCAAUAGUCUCUAAAUUGUUUGAAGAGUCUUUCAUAAAUCUCAUUUAUACUGGCCUGGUAUUGGUAACUUAAAUAGUCCCUGUUAUAAAGCAGUCUUUUAACAGCAAUAGCAGUGCUUGGCAUAGCAAACACUUAGGCCCAGCUGCUCUGUGGGCAUUACUGCCAUAUCAUAAUAUCAUUGAUCUGUAAAAUAAAGAUAAACCUUGGAAAUAAGUAGCAAUGCUUCUUCUUCAGAGUUAUGUUUAAUGAAACAUACUUUUCAUGUAGUGAUUUAAUUUCAGUUGGACUAGUUUAAUAAGUAAGGUCAAGACCUUUUAAGAACUGCAGAGAUCAAUGUUGUUGAUCUACACAAAUUAGAGUUCCACAGCAUUACCCUUGAAGCAGUGUGGGAGGCUGAUAAAUGCACGAGAUGUGGUUUUAAGACAUAAUAUUGAAAACAGCAUUCCUGUGAUUAUAUAGCUAAUAUAACAUUUUGAUUUGGAAACUUGAAUAUGUGAACUGGAAGUCGUAACGUACCAAGCUUACUUCCUUUCUCUGCUAGUAAUGCAUUUUGUGUUCUUGAGGACCAUCUGCCCUUAUAAGACAAUUGUAGCUGUCCCAUAGAGUUACUGUGAGCAUUAGUUAAUUACCACUAUAUGCUUUGAACACAUAAAGCCCCAUAGCUCACAGAAACAUGUAUUAUAAAGUAUAACUAUGCAGUUAUUGGAAAAGUCCCUGAUUGUCUCUUUGAGACAACUGUCACGUAGCACUUACUAUACAUAGGAAGUGACACACAAUGACGAAGCAGUUAAAACUCAAAAUGAUAUUCUUGCUCCAAGACAGAGCAUUUGCAUUUUUGGAGAAUGGUCUUGUUUCUUUUUACAGAUUGGCUUAAGAAGCUUUCAGAAAGGCUAAAAAUACCUUUUUAUAUUAACUAGCUUUCCCUUUCUUUGAGCUAAGCACAGUGAGGUGUGGAAUGGUUUUGAUGAGCUCAUGAAUAUUGACACUAGAGCUACAAAGCUACAAACACUAGUGCAUCAUAUGAGCCCAUUUUACAUAGUGGUAGGAACUAUUCAUUACUAA
ensembl:lncRNA